UACGGAGGGGGCUAGCGUUGUUCGGCAUUACUGGGCGUAAAGCGCGCGUAGGCGGAUCUGCAAGUCGGGGGUGAAAUCCCGAGGCUCAACCUCGGAACUGCCUUCGAUACUGCGGGUCUCGAGUCCGGGAGAGGUGAGUGGAAUUCCUAGUGUAGAGGUGAAAUUCGUAGAUAUUAGGAAGAACACCAGUGGCGAAGGCGGCUCACUGGCCCGGUACUGACGCUGAGGUGCGAAAGCGUGGGGAGCAAACAGG
rnacentral:rRNA from 1 species